GAUGAACGCUGGCGGCGUGCCUAAUACAUGCAAGUCGAGCGAACAGAUGAGGAGCUUGCUCCUCUGACGUUAGCGGCGGACGGGUGAGUAACACGUGGAUAACCUACCUAUAAGACUGGGAUAACUUCGGGAAACCGGAGCUAAUACCGGAUAAUAUAUUGAACCGCAUGGUUCAUUAGUAAAAGACGGUUUUGCUGUCACUUAUAGAUGGAUCCGCGCCGCAUUAGCUAGUUGGUAAGGUAACGGCUUACCAAGGCAACGAUGCGUAGCCGACCUGAGAGGGUGAUCGGCCACACUGGAACUGAGACACGGUCCAGACUCCUACGGGAGGCAGCAGUAGGGAAUCUUCCGCAAUGGGCGAAAGCCUGACGGAGCAACGCCGCGUGAGUGAUGAAGGUCUUCGGAUCGUAAAACUCUGUUAUUAGGGAAGAACAAAUGUGUAAGUAACUAUGCACGUCUUGACGGUACCUAAUCAGAAAGCCACGGCUAACUACGUG
rnacentral:rRNA from 1 species